UACGUAGGUGACAAGCGUUGUCCGGAUUUACUGGGCGUGAAGAGCGCGCAGGCGGUCGUUCAAGUCGAGUGUGAAAGCCCCCGGCUCAACUGGGGAGGGUCACUCGAUACUGAUCGACUCGAAGGCAGGAGAGGGAAGUGGAAUUCCCGGUGUAGUGGUGAAAUGCGUAGAUAUCGGGAGGAACACCAGUGGCGAAGGCGACUUCCUGGCCUGUUCUUGACGCUGAGGCGCGAAAGCUAGGGGAGCAAACGGG
rnacentral:rRNA from 1 species